UACGAAGGGUGCAAGCGUUACUCGGAAUUACUGGGCGUAAAGCGCACGUAGUCGGCUUUGCAAGUCGGUUGUGAAAUCCCCGGGCUCAACCUGGGAACUGCAUUCGAGACUGCAUUGCUAGAGUAUGGGAGAGGGAAGCGGAAUUUCUGGUGUAGCAGUGAAAUGCGUAGAUAUCAGAAGGAACAUCAGUGGCGAAGGCGGCUUCCUGGACCAAUACUGACGAUCAGGUGCGAAAGCGUGGGGAGCAAACAGG
rnacentral:rRNA from 1 species